rnacentral:lncRNA from 1 species
AGAAUAAGAGACGUGCGUGGCAGUAUAGAAGUGGAACCUCCUACAGUUAAGAGUCUUGUUCAAUUAAAAAAAAAAACUUUUUCAGCUUACUGACAACUCUCAUCCACUCUAUUUAUAUGCCGCACAUGGGUCCACAUGAUGACGUGGCCUCACUUGGUUGAGUUUUCUAUGCAAGAAACAAUAUGCUUUCAUCUCCCAUGCAAAGCUUUUAACUUCUGGAUUCUUGAGUUGUGUUGGAGUGCCUUUUAUACUGUGUGUAAGUCGUUCUUUGGAAAGGAAGAUUAAACUGAAAAACCACUUGUGUAAUUGUGUUCCAGUAUUCUCAUCUGUAACAAAAGAACCAGGAGGUAAUCAAUCGUGCUUUUGAUCUUCACUUAUUUUGAUUUCAGGAUAGUUUCAUCUUACUAGCACUUACAGAGUCAUGCAUGAGUUUAUUGAUUUCUUUAAUGGUGUUCAAUCUUCUUUAUUUUGCUUUCGCCGCAGGAUGUUUAAGUGGAUGUUCAUAGGCUGCGCAGUGUAUGUGUUAGGUAAAAUUUUGCGAUACAUUUCAAGCGACCAAGAUCAUGGAACUGAAAGUAAGAUUUCGAAGGGAGACCCUUCACACGGAUCAGCUUCACUUAACACUUCUGUUAGGAAUUCUAGUUAUGAGAAUAACGAUCGGCAAGACCAAUCUGAUCGAACCCAAAUCAAGUACUACGAUAAUUACCCGAAUUUACCAACUAGUAGCUCAACUACAAAAAGGAGUGGAGCUGUGUCUAUUGAAUCAGAAUAUGUUAACAAGUUUAUGGAAGGAACUGAUGAAGCGUCCUCGAGAUUGAAAUAUAGAACAUCACAACCUCCAUUUUCCUCUAAGCCAUCACUCCCUAAACCCGCAUCAGUUUCUUCUAAGCCAUCCGUAUCUCCAACUGAACCUCCACCAUCAUCUUCUAGUCCUAAACCUUCAAUUCCUUCUUUUAAAGCAUGCUCCUCGUUCUCUACACCCGUGGCACCUCCCCUUACUUCUGAUCAACCUCGAUCAUCUGCUAAGCAAUCUCCAUCUUCAUGUGGUCCAUCUCAAUCUCCCUCCGUGCCAACUUCAUCAUCCCCGAGCACCCCUGAGUCCUCUAAGCCCACUCAGUGUCCACUCUGCUUUAAUCCAACAAAUGAGCAGAUGAAAUCUAAUAAUACACGGGUUCCGAAGGGCGCAUCAUUCCCAAAAGCCCCUCAGUCCUCUAAGCCCACUCGGUGCCCAUUCUGCUUUAAUCCAACGGAGGACCAGAUGAAAGCUAACUAUCCCAAGGAUAUUGAAAGUCCGAUCGAGAAAGAUAUUGAGCCUGAAGAUUUGAAGAAUCCAUUGUCUCAGAAGGCGCCUUCAUCUUCUCAGCUUACCCUUUCUCCGCUUCCUCCUGAUUCAAAAUAUCAGCAGGAAAAUGAUCGCUAUAUAUUGGUCGAGAAGGGUGCCUCUAAUUACAAGAUUCCUGAGGAUAUUGAAGAUUUGAUCAAGAAAGACAUCGUGCCUGACGUUUUGCAGAAGCCAAUGUCUCCAUCGACUUACAAAGACUACUUUGCUGCUCUGCUGUACGCUGAGGAUUUCUACAUUGAGGUGAUUAAUUAACAGUGACCUUUUUGCAUGUUAUUCUUUCUAGUAUCAUUUCGUGCAAGCAAGAAUGAACAUAAAACUCAUAAAAUUCGAUUUUAGAUACAUACUCAGAUUAUGUGCGGUAAAUCGACAAGCUAAGGUUGUGCUACUGACUUCUAGUUGGAAGAUGAUCACAAAGCCAGAAAAUUCCCUGCGAUCACGUUGCAAGAACCCUCUAAGCUUGAAAUCUUGGCUCAAAUUCUCUCAAAUUGCACUCUUUAGCUCAAUGGCCUGUCUCUAGCUUGUCUCUUCUACCUUUCUCCGUGAUCAUCAUUAAAUAAGGUUAAAUUAUUGUUGGGGUGAUCUUCUACUAAAUGAUCACUUAAUAUCUUAGGAUAUUUAUAUCAUUCCCUUCAAAAUUGAUCCCUUGAUUCUUGGUCAUGCAUACCUCAUGAGUGACCUCAAAAUGAUAGAACCCUAAUAUAUAUGUAUAUCUAUUUAUAUACAUAUACAUAUACAUUAUACAUAACUUCAUUGCUACCAAACGUAUAUUGUGUGCUGUGGCUGUUCGGUGGAAGACACCUUUGUUGUGGUUCGUGCAUUACUACCCCCUUUGGAAUGUUUGAGCUUACCUUGUAUACGAUAAAACAUCAUAUGGGUGCUGUAAUUAGCAACCAUCAAACAUGUUUUACUGGAGAUACAUGAUUUUAUAUUUUAUAUCUGUGUCUCAGUUUGUCGUUAGAUUUACCAAUUAGGCUUCUCGAGACAAGCCUGUUUAGAUUUGCGAGUAAGUGAAAACAUCAAAGCACCAAAUUAGUAACAUUCUGAUGUUAUUGAUAAUCUUGGUGCAUUUUGUGUUGGUAGGCAAUUUAACAGAGAUAGGCAACCCUAGUGGACUGCUUUAGCUGCAACUUACUCUGUACAUACAGCCCAUAUCGACUGUUCAUAGAAGAUAACAAUAUUUGGUACAAAAGUGACUUUUAGGAAUCUUACAUGUUUUAAAUGAUUGAAUGCAAGAUGCGUCUAUGGACCAAAAACAUUACAGUUUCAUCCAAGUGCUUUCUAUCAUACUUCCUAAUUGUGUUUAGAUAUAAUAAUGGCUUUGAUUUGAUCAGAAGUGGAGCGGUUUUCAGUUAUUCAAUGUCACAUUGGAGUUGCAUAAAGCUGCAAUAUAUGAUAAGUCACUCAAGAACAAGAAUCUGGAGGAGAGUGAUGAGAAGGAUGAUAAACUCUUUGUAGCCUUUGAAAUUGAUUCUGUUCCUGAGAGACGACCAUUUCUAUUAUCUAGAGAUUUUGUCCACGCUCGACGUUCAGGCAGCAACGCCAAGGAGUUUCAAGUAAGUCUCAUGAGCUUUCAAACUAAGAAUUUGUAGAAUCUCUUUUAGUGAUAAAUAUUCAUAUCUUCUGCCAAAUUGAGAAUCUAUUUUAUGCUUCUUUCUCCCUAUGCUUUCAAAUUUUUGGAAUAUAUUUUUUUAAAUGAUGUUUGUGGGUAUCAUCACUGAAGCCCUCACGAGACUAUAACUCGUCCACUAGGGCCGCCUAGGGGUUUAAAGGCUUGUUGCAUACGCUAAAUGCAAUCGCGAUUACCUGCGAAAGUGGUUUAGUUAGGAUUUACUUUUUGUUUUGUUAUUUUUAUUUUUGUUUUAAGUUUUAGUUUUGCUCGAGGACUAGCAAAAUCUAAGUUUGGGGGUAUUUGAUGAGCAUAUAAUACAUACAUAUUUUACCAUUAAUUAAAUAAUUGUUAGCUAUAUUUAUUUGUUAUUUUUAAUUAAUUGAAUUAUUUUAUUGAAUAGGGAAUUAAUUGGAGAUUAUGAAUAAAAAGAACAUAAAGGAGUUCAAUUUGUAAGCAUUAAAGAUUAAUUGAUUUUUGGAAGAAAUUAGACGUACAUGCAUGUGGAAAUCAAGCCAAGAAACCGAAUUCAACAAAUUCAUUUACCCGUGCACAUGCGGACAAAGAAGAUAAAUGGAUGGAAAGCAACUUAAAAGGGCCCACACUUGGCUUUUACAAUUGGAAAAAGGAAUCCUAGUGCAAGCCUAAUUGGUGAGCACGUGAGUGAGAGUAAAGAAAAUUAAAAGGCCAAGCCUUUUGGCUUAAGGAAAUAACAAGGUCGGUGGGGCCUAUUUAAAGAGUAAUAUAAAAGCAAGCUUUUGGCUUUUGGAGAGGAGGAGCAGAGGACGGAAAAAAAAGAGGAGAAUUCGGCUUUGAACAAAGAGCAGCGACAGCAGAAAUAUUUCGGUGAAACUUUGACUCUUUGUUAUUCAAUAUGUUUACAUGGGAUACUUAGAUAUCGUAUUAUUAAGCAGAAAAGAACCUACACAAGAUUAAUUACUCGGACUUAAUUGUUAUAUUCAUGAGAUGACAUAGAUUGAUUUCGAGUUGUCACUCUAAAAUUGGGGAUUAAUUUGUUUGUGGGAAAUACAUCGAGGAGACCAUACGAGAUGAGCAAGUGUUUGGUGGCGGAGUUCUGCGAGCAGGAAUAUUCUCCUCGUCCACGAAUAUGCCAUUCGCGAAACCGAAUUCCUGUUAGAGGCAUAAGGUCAUUCCUGCUAAGGGUCGAGGCGAGGAGACCCGGUCAACGGCAGUUGGCAAGACGUGCCUUCCUAUCCGAGAAUCAAGGCACGAGGUCCAUCUCCAUUUGCCCACAAUGACGACGAUGGGGCAUCCACAUCUGAGGGUGGGGAGAAUAAUGGGCGUAAAAUGCGGAAGAUCGGGACUCAGAGGAAGCUUAUAAAAAGGUAGCCAACAAAGGUAAAAGGGUUAGAUUUUUUGCUAUUUUGAACUAAGAAAAGAGAGAACUGGAAGGUCUGAGAUUAAUAAACAGCCAUAAGAUUCGUGGCAAGCGUUCCCAGAACCUUGAUAUCUGACUUGAGCGUCGGAGGGUUUACGCCGGGAAAACAACCGGCGUGCUCUGACUUGUUUCUGUGGACGCAGGGAUACUUAGAGAAGAAAGCAUACGAGGAGAGAUCCUGAUCGAGGUAAGGUUGGUCGAGCAGACAUCCUGGUCGUUGGAAGGCAUAACCAGAAUCUCGCAUCAACAUAAUUAAUAAUUAGAUAAUUACUAGUUGAAUAGUGGUAGAUUCUGAAACCUUGGUAAUUUGUCUAAUUGAUUUCUCAUUUGCUUUAAUUGUUUUCUUAGUUUAAUUAGUUUAAUUUCUCUUAAAACUCAAUUUGCUCAACUAGGUUAGAAUUAAUAUUAAUUUUAGAUUUAAAUUAGACUUUUCAAUUUAUAACAAUCCCUGUGGGAUCGACCUCGUUACCACUAUUCAAUUUCUAGAUUCGUGCGCUUGCGAGUAUAUUAAAAUUUUCACAACAAGUUUUUGGCGCCGUUGCCGGGGAUUGUGCUAGAAAGUCAGUUUAAUCUAGGUUGAUUUGAUUCUUCCACUAGUUAUAAUUUAGGUUGUCUUUUAUUUUUUAAUUAAAAAAAACACAAAAAAAAAUUAUUUGUCUUUAAAUUCAUUGUUUGGUUGUUUGAUUUCUUUUAUUUUUAAAUUUCGUUUAUUCUCAUUUUUGUUGGUUUAUUUUAUUUUAUUUUUCUUUCUUUCCUUGUCUAGUUAGUUUACCUAGUCCUUGGAUAUCCAGACAUUUUGUUUUUCUGGUUGAAUAUCUUCGGAAAAUAUCUUCUUAAUUUUCCGAAUAUUUGUUUUCUCAAAUCCUGUCCAGGGUAUUCUAUACCGGGUGGUGAAGAGCAACGUAGUGUUGGUUGAGUUUGAAGAAGAUUUUUAUUCACUGCAUCAUCCAAAGUACAUUUACGAUAUUAGCUUCUCAUUCAACCGAGUCUGUUUGAAACGAGCUCACCAAGCAAUUGCAGCUGCAUCACGUUCUUUAUUUGAGAACUACCUUUUCCCUGAUUUUACCUCUCGAAAGAACAUCAGUUCCUCAGAAGCUUGUCUUUAUGGUAAUCGUAUCCUUGACUCAGAUGGCAACUCUGCAGUUCGUCGGAUCUUAAGCUUACAGGGGAGGCCACCUUAUCUUGUAGAGGGUCCACCCUGUGUAAUUAGUGACAGUCUAUCCAAAACUGGAUUGGUUGUUCGAGAAGCAGUACUUGAAAUUUAUAAGAGGUCAUCUAAGUGUCGAAUUCUAGUCUGUGCUCCUAUAAAUAGAACAGGUGAUAUACUAAUGAGAAGUUUGAAGAAGCAGAUUCCAAAGUCUGAUAUGUUUCGAGCCAACGCUGCAUUCAGAGAGGUAGAUGGGGUACUAGUUGACAUCCUCCCCUUGUGCCUUUAUGAAGGGGGGGAAUGUUUUCAAUUGCCUUCACUUCAGGAAUUGAUACAAUUCAGGGUAAUAUUCUCAACUUUUACAAGCAGCUUUCGCCUCCACAACGAGGGCAUACCUGCUGGACAUUUUAGUCACAUUUUUCUUCUUGAUGCCUCAUCUGCUACUGAGCCAGAGACAAUGAUAGCUCUCACAAAUUUGGCUAAUGAGAACACGACCGUGAUACUCACCGGUGCUCCCAAUAACCGCACGAGUUGGGUCCGCUCCGAUAUUGCUAGGAAGACGGGAUUAAGGGUGUCGUAUUUUGAAAGACUUCAUGCCACCCAGACCUAUAGCAAUUUCGAUCCGACGUUCAUUACUAUGCUGUAAACUUUUGAGUACUGCGGUAACAAUAGCCUCUAUUAGAACUUAGUUUACUUCUCAUGAGUUUGUUACUACUGUGCCUUGUUGUAAAUGCGUGAAUGUCAGAACAUUUCUUCGAUCCGUUACUUUUGCACUUGUUGCUCUAUCUAAUUCAUGCAGUCCAAUUCCGCGAUGAUUGAUUGCUUUCAUUCCCCUAGAUUAACAAAAAUUAAAAUCUUCAUAAAUUGUAUGCAGGUCACAGUACUCCAUCUCUGGAUUAUUAAUUAUGUUCUUAUGCUACGACAAAGAUUAGUUCUGUUGUAAUUAUCAGAAUAGAACUUGUGUACUUCAAUUUUUGCCAGUAGAAUUAUCUUGACGACUGAGAUUGGAUUUGGAGGCAUGUUUCUGAUGGGUGCAAUGAUGUUUUGAUGUUAGAAUCUUUUAUAUCUUUAAUUACGGAUUAGGGACCCGCAAGAGGGUGAAUCAGAAUAAGAAUCGUGCCCCAAAAUAAGCUUUCCGGUUGGACUUAUCUUAAAAGUCGGCAUCUUAUUCAUUUUUUCUUAAUCCCCGAGAAGGAUAACAUUUGGCAGUAUGGAAGUGGGAGUUAAUAAGAGCCUUGCAGUCUUUCUAUAUUUUCCACAUGUCGUGUCUGCCAUGGCAUCUGGAACCACAUGAUGACGUGGCCUCACUUGUUUGGGUUUACUUCAUUUGCAUGAAUCAAAUAUGCUCUCAUCUCUCAAGCAAAGCUUUAACUUUUGGUUGGAUUAUCGAGAUUGACUUGGGUUCUUUACUUUUACAUAAAACGUUCUUUGGAAAGGGGGGAAAAAUUAAAAAAGAAAAAAUAGCUCUUGUAGUCUUGUUCGGGCAUUCCCAUCUGUAAAAGAACCAGAAGGUAAUCAUUCUUGCUUUUGAUCUUCAUUUAUUGUAAUGUCAAGAUAGUUUCAUCUUGGACUUGACAACAUUAACCCCUCCAGUGCUAAGUCUAUUCAAUCAGAAUAUGUUAACAAGUCUACGGAAGGAACUGAUGAAGCUUCCACAAGAUUGAACUCUACAACAUUAACCCCUUCAGUUUUCUCCAAGCCAUCUCCAUCUUCACCAAAAUCACAUCAAUCUAAGCCACCAUUCCCUAAACCUGCAUUAGCUUCUUCUUAGCUACUUCUAUCUCCAGCUGAAGCUCCCCCAUCAUCUUCUGGUCCCAAAACUUCAAUUCCUUCUUACGAAACAUCCUCAUCACUCUCUACGCCUGCAUCUUCUUCUUUUUGUCAAUCUGUGCCUUCACUUGCAGCACCUCCAUUUUCUUCUCAUCAUCCUCGAUUGUCAGCUAAGCCAUCUCCAUCUUCACGUCGUCCAUCUCAAUCUCCCACCAUGCCAACUUCAUCAUCCUUAAAAGUCUGGUCAAGAAAGAUAUUGAGCCUGAAGUUUUGAAAAAGUAAUUGUUUCUUGAUCUACCUACAAAGAUUACUUUGCUGCUCGACUAUGUGCUGAGGAUUUCUACAUUGAGGUGAUUUAUUAACUUUGAGACGAAAUUUUAUCUCUAUGUUAUUAUCCUAAAUUCUAAUUCGUAUAAUUGUGUGAAUGCAAGAACAUUGCUUCCGAUCUGUUGCUUUUGUACUUGUAUUUGAUUGGUCUCUCCAUCCUUGAGAUUGCUUGAACGACAUGACGCAGCAGCUUAGAGCCGAUGUACCAUGACAUACAAUGUUUCAAAUUUGGAAGCUCUAACCUUCUAAUUUGUUUUACUUAGUCUCCAAAUGAUACUACCAGCAGUUGGCAUGAAUAUAAAUGAUAUAGCAAAGCAAAACAAGGGAUAGAUAAACGAAAUGAUGUAACCAUAUUCAACUUGAAAAACCAGAAGAAACAAGGUGGGGCAAGAGGUAGAAUGUGAAAAACAUGAUUACCGCAACUAAUUUGUAAAGGUAAUAAAAGUAUCGUCCCACUGUGUAUUACAUGUCAGCAUUGAUAUAUCUGAAUGCCUACAUCCAAGUCUGAUUUGAUUUCAGCUGAGAAGACCAUCCCCGAUUCUGAAUGAAACAAAGAACAAAAAAACAAGCACUCGACUUAUGAUGCAGAUAAAAGACCUGAAGUUUCACACUGACAGUUUUACGAAGCAGUUCUUUCCCGAAGCCAUAAAUUGAAUAAUUAAAUAAAAUAUUACAGCAAUCAGGAGGAACUAGCAGGUGCUAACUGCUUCAGUUUUGCCUGCAAGAUUACAGUAGCUUCGUCUGAAAUAGUUUUCUUUUUUGUUGCAACCUGCAUUAUGAAUUUUUAUACUCCUGUUAUUGUCAAAGACGAUAAUACAACAGAGGUGAUAGAAAUGUGAAUUGCUAACAUAAACAUUCAAGUCCUUUAAAAUAAGCAGAAGGAAUUAACUCAAAACUCUUUAAUCUUCAUAGUCACUUAAUAAGCUUUCUCUUAACAAUCCCAAACUAAGUGUGAAUGGGGGAUAUACUAGAAAGAAAGCCCUCAACACCAAGAAAGGGUUGAUUAAGAUUGGAGGCACAUUGUAGUAGGUGAGAUGACGUAUUGUUUUGCAACAUUUUAAAUCCGUUGUAUCUAAUAAAAAUGGACAACAAAUCCUAUAAAAAGUUGCAAGCUUUGAGUUCAGUAUUGAUGAAGUGCUCAUGGAGGAUGGAAAGAGUCAAUACUGGUUUUAAAUGUAGGUUGAAGUGGCAUUGAGAAGAAAAUAAUGGAAAAACUAUUUGAGAUUGAUUGGACUUGAACAAGAUGUACAAGGAAUGGGUUGCUACAAAGUAUUAACCCAGUAUGGAAAGCACCAAAAGAACAUGAAUAAGAACCGAGAAAGGAAAAUUCAAUACUCAAAGAACAUCAUGUUAGAAGAUAAACGAGGAUUCUGCACUGGAGUAUAGUGGAAUGGCACGAAAAGAUUCAUGCAAAUGACCCAUUUGGUCUUAAAGAACUGUGAGAUCUGUCCGGACAAACAGAGAGAGAAUUCUGGUUCAGAUUGCUAGACCAAUCUCCAGAACAUAUAUCAACAGAAGCAAAAACAAAAACCAAAAGAAGACUGCAUUCUUGAGCGUGCUUUUUUUGUUUUGGUUAAAUCUAUUUAUGGCAAAGAAGAAAAAUGCUAGACCAAAGUAAAGUCUAGUAUCUUCUAGAGCUACUCAAAGACAAUUUACAUGCGGAAGGAUCAAUCCAGCAUAUUUAAUUCGAGAAACCAAAAGUAUUAUUAUCAAAGGGAUUUGUUAAUAAUCUCCUAAUCAAGUUACUUACUAGUUAAGCAUGUAUUCAAAACAAUAAAAACAUAAGUAAUAAAGACUCACCAAAUCGAGAAGCUUCCAAAUUAACUAAGAUUUCUAACUCUAUUGAAGAUUUGGAGAAUGUUGCUAUGAGAGAUCUAGAAUUUAGAUUUUGGUGUUGGGAGAGCAGGAAGAUGAUUAAUGAAAGAAGUGGAAUAAUUCUAUGUUUCCUUCUUUCAAGUCCAUAUUUUCGAGAAUUAACAAACACAAAGCAAUAAAGUAAACUUUAAUAAAGUAAUUUUAAUAAAACAACAAUAAAGAUAAAGCAACCUUAAUAAGUAUAAUAAUAAAUUAAAAUAAAUUUUAUUAAAGAAACUACUUUAUUAAAAUAAUAAAUAUAUAGUAAAUCUUUAAUAAGUGUAAUCAUAAAUAUACAAAGUAAACUUUAAUAAAUUAAAGUAAAUUUUAAUAAAGAAGCUUUAACAAAGCAAUAAUAAAUAUGUAAAAAACUUAAAUAAAUGUACUUCCCUCUUUUUUUCCUUUUUAUAUGCUACACAGGCACACAGGCACAGGCCUACAAUGGCACCUGGGUCCACAUGAUGACGUGGCCUCACUUGGUUGAGUUUUCUUUCUAUGUAAGAAACAAUAUGCUUUCAUCUCCCAUGCAAAGCUUUUAACUUUUUUGAUUCUUGAGUUGUGUUGGAGUGCUCUUUACUUCAUGUGUAAUUCGUUCUUUGGAAAGGAAGAUCAAAUUGACAAAAACCACUUGCGUAGUUGUGUUCCAGUGUUCUCAUCUGUAACCAAAAAAGCAGAAGGUAAUCAAUCGUGCUUUUGAUCUUCACUUAUUUUGAUUUCAGGAUAGUUUCAUCUUACUAGCACUUACAGAGUCAUGCAUGAGUUUAUUGAUUUCUUUAAUGGUGUUCAAUCUUCUUUAUUUUGCUUUCGCCGCAGGAUGUUUAAGUGGAUGUUCAUAGGCUGCGCAGUGUAUGUGUUAGGUAAAAUUUUGCGAUACAUUUCAAGCGACCAAGAUCAUGGAACUGAAAGUAAGAUUUCGAAGGGAGACCCUUCACACGGAUCAGCUUCACUUAACACUUCUGUUAGGAAUUCUAGUUAUGAGAAUAACGAUCGGCAAGACCAAUCUGAUCGAACCCAAAUCAAGUACUACGAUAAUUACCCGAAUUUACCAACUAGUAGCUCAACUACAAAAAGGAGUGGAGCUGUGUCUAUUGAAUCAGAAUAUGUUAACAAGUUUAUGGAAGGAACUGAUGAAGCGUCCUCGAGAUUGAAAUAUAGAACAUCACAACCUCCAUUUUCCUCUAAGCCAUCACUCCCUAAACCUGCAUCAGUUUCUUCUAAGCCAUCCGUAUCUCCAACUGAACCUCCACCAUCAUCUUCUAGUCCUAAACCUUCAAUUCCUUCUUUUAAAGCAUGCUCCUCGUUCUCUACACCCGUGGCACCUCCCCUUACUUCUGAUCAACCUCGAUCAUCUGCUAAGCAAUCUCCAUCUUCAUGUGGUCCAUCUCAAUCUCCCUCCGUGCCAACUUCAUCAUCCCCGAGCACCCCUGAGUCCUCUAAGCCCACUCAGUGUCCACUCUGCUUUAAUCCAACAAAUGAGCAGAUGAAAUCUAAUAAUACACGGGUUCCGAAGGGCGCAUCAUUCCCAAAAGCCCCUCAGUCCUCUAAGCCCACUCGGUGCCCAUUCUGCUUUAAUCCAACGGAGGACCAGAUGAAAGCUAACUAUCCCAAGGAUAUUGAAAGUCCGAUCGAGAAAGAUAUUGAGCCUGAAGAUUUGAAGAAUCCAUUGUCUCAGAAGGCGCCUUCAUCUUCUCAGCUUACCCUUUCUCCGCUUCCUCCUGAUUCAAAAUAUCAGCAGGAAAAUGAUCGCUAUAUAUUGGUCGAGAAGGGUGCCUCUAAUUACAAGAUUCCUGAGGAUAUUGAAGAUUUGAUCAAGAAAGACAUCGUGCCUCACGUUUUGGAGAAGCCAUUGUCUCCAUCGACUUACAAAGACUACUUUGCUGCUCUGCUGUACGCUGAGGAUUUCUACAUUGAGGUGAUUGAUUAACAGUGACCUUUUUGCAUGUUAUUCUUUAGAGUAUCAUUUCGUGUGUGUUAUUUGCAAGCGAGAAUACACAUAAAACUCAUAAAAUCCGAAUUUAGAUACAUACUCGGAUUAUGUGCGGUAAAUCGACAAACUAAGGUUGUGCUACUGACUUCUGGUCGGAAGAUGAUCACAAAACCGGACAAUCCCCUCAGAUCACGUUGCAAGAACCCUCUAAGUUUGAAAUUUUGGCUCAAAUUCUCUCAAAUUGCACUCUUUAGCUCAAUGGCUUGUCUCUAGCUUGUCUCUUCUACCUUUCUCCGUGGAUUAGCUCUCAUUUAUAGCAUUACAAGAGUAGUGAAUCAUCACUAAAUAAGGUUAAACUAUUGUUGGAGUGAUUUUCUACUCAAUGACCACUUAAUGUCUUAUGAUAUUAUAUCAUUCCACUCAAAUUUGAUCCCUUGAUUCUUGGUCAUGCAUACCUCAUGAUUGACCUCAAAAUGAUAGAAUCCUAAUAUACAUGUAUAUCUAUUUAUAUGCAUAUACAUAUACAUUAUACAUAACUUCAUUGCUACCAAUCGUAUAUUGUGUACUGUGGCUGUUCGGUGGAAGACACAUUUGUUGUGUUUAGUGCAUUACUACCCCCUUUGGAAUGUUUGAGUUUACCUUGUAUACGAUAAAACAUCAUAUGGGUGCUGUAUUUAGCAACCAUCAAACAUGUUUUACUGGAGAUACAUGAUUUUAUAUUUUAUAUCUGUGUCUCAGUUUGUCGUUAGAUUUACCAAUUAGGCUUCACGAGACAAGCCUGUUUAGAUUUGCGAGUAAGCAAAAACAUCAAAGCACCGAAUUAGUAACAUUCCAAUGUUAUUGAUAAUCUUGGUGCAUUUUGUGUUGGUAGGCAAUUUAACAGAGAUAGGCAGCCCUAGUGGACUGCUUUAGCUGCAACUUACUCUGUAAAUACAGCCCAUAUCGACUCUUCAUAGAAGAUAACAAUAUUUGGUACAAAAGUGAUUUUUAGGAAUCUUACAUGUUUUAGAUGAUUGAAUGCAAGAUGCGUCUACGGACCAAAAACAUUACAGUUUCAUCCAAGUGCUUUCUAUCAUACUUCCUAAUUGUGUUUAGAUAUAAUAAUGGCUUUGAUUUGAUCAGAAGUGGAGCGAUUUUCAGUUAUUCAAUGUCACAUUGGAGUUGCAUAAAGCAGCAAUAUAUGAUAAGUCACUCAAGAACAAGAAUCUGGAGGAGAGUGAUGAGACGGAUGAUAAACUCUUUGUAGCCUUUGAAAUUAAUUCUGUUCCUGAGAGGCGACCCUUUCUUUUAUCUAGAGAUUUUGUUUAUGCACAACGUUCAGGUGGCAAAUCCAAGAAGUUUCAAGUAAGUAUCCUGAUCUUUCAAACUAAUAAUUUGUAGAAUCUCUUUUAGUGAUAAAUAUUCAUAUCUUCUGCCAAAUUGAGAAUCUAUUUUAUGCUUCUUUCUCCUUAUGCUUUCAAUUUUUUGGAAUAUAAUUCUAGUCGCAGCUAUCAAUAUAAUUUAUAAAUUAUGCCAUUUGAAAUUCUGCAAACCUACUUAAUGCAAACUAUUGCUCAGUUUGAACUAUAGAUGAGUGAUGAGCAUAUAAUACAUACAUAUUUUACCAUUAAUUAAAUAAUUGUUAGCUAUAUUUAUUUGUUAUUUUUAAUUAAUUGAAUUAUUUUAUUGAAUAGGGAAUUAAUUGGAGAUUCCAGACAUUUUGUUUUUCUGGUUGAAUAUCUUCGGAAAAUAUCUCCUUAAUUUCCCGAAUAUUUGUUUUCUCAAAUCCUGUCCAGGGUAUUCUAUACCGGGUGGUGAAGAGCAACGUAGUGUUGGUUGAGUUUGAAGAAGAUUUUUAUUCACUGCAUCAUCCAAAGUACAUAUACGAUAUUAGCUUCUCAUUCAACCGAGUCUGUUUGAAACGAGCUCACCAAGCAAUUGCAGCUGCAUCACGUUCUUUAUUUAAGAACUACCUUUUUCCCGAUUUUGUCUCUCGAAAGAACAUCAGUUCCUCAGAAACUUGUCUUUAUGGUAAUCGUAACCUUGACUCAAAUGGCAACUCUGUAGUUCGUCGGAUCCUAAGCUUACAUGGGAGCCCACCUUAUCUUGUAGAGGGUCCACUCUGUGCAACUAGUGACAAUCUAUCCAAAACUGGAUUGGUUGUUCAAGAAGCAGUACUUGAAAUUUAUAAGAGGUCAUCUCAGUGUCGAAUUCUAGUCUGUGCUCCUAUAAAUAGAACAGGUGAUGUACUAAUGAGAAGUUUGAAGAAGAAGAUUCCAAAGUCUGAUAUGUUUCGAGCCAACGCUGCAUUCAGAGAGGUAGAUGGGGUACCAGUUGACAUCCUCCCCUCGUGCCUUUAUGAAGAGGGGAAGGGUUUUCAAUUGCCUUCACUUCAGGAAUUGAUGCAAUUCAGGGUAAUAUUCUCAACUUUUACAAGCAGCUUUCGCCUCCACAACGAGGGCAUACCUGCUGGACAUUUUAGUCACAUUUUUCUUCUUGAUGCCUCAUCUGCUACUGAGCCAGAGACAAUGAUAGCUCUCACAAAUUUGGCUAAUGAGAACACGACCGUGAUACUCACCGGUGCUCCCAAUAACCGCACGAGUUGGGUCCGCUCCGAUAUUGCUAGGAAGACGGGAUUAAGGGUGUCGUAUUUUGAAAGACUUCAUGCCACCCAGACCUAUAGCAAUUUCGAUCCGACGUUCAUUACUAUGCUGUAAACUUUUGAGUACUGCGGUAACAAUAGCCUCUAUUAGAACUUAGUUUACUUCUCAUGAGUUUGUUACUACUGUGCCUUGUUGUAAAUGCGUGAAUGUAAGAACAUUUCUUCGAUCCGUUGCUUUUGCACUUGUUGCUCUAUCAAAUUCAUGCAGUCCAAUUCCGCGAUUAUUGAUUGCUUUCAUUCUCGUAGAUUAACAAAAAUUAAAAUCGCGAUUAUUAAUUAUGUUCUUAUGCUACGAAAAAGAUUAGUUCUGUUCUAAUUAUCCGAAUAGAACUUGUGUACUUCAAUUGUUGCCAGUAGAAUUAUCUUGACGACUAAGAUUGGAUUUGGAGGCAUGUUUCUGAUGGGUGCAAUGAUGUUUUGACGUUAGAAUCUUUUAUAUCUUUAAUUACGGAUUAGAAACCCGCAAAAGCGUGAAAAAAAAAAAAAAUUAGCUCUUGUUCGCUAAACCUACAUUAGCUUCUUCUAGCCGCUUCUAUCUCCAACUGAAACUUCAAUUCCUUCUCACAACACAUCCUCAUCAUUCUCGACGACGGCAUCGUCAAUCUGUAGCUUCACUUGCAGCGCCUCCAUUUACUUCUGAUCAUCCUCGAUUGUCAGCUAAGCCAUCUCCAUCUUCACGUCGUCCAUCUCAAUCUCCCACCAUGCCAACUUCAUCAUCCUUAAGAGGCUGGUCAAGAAAGAUAUUGAGCCUGAAGUUUUGAAAAAGUCAUUGUCUUUGAUCUACCUACAAAGAUUACUUUGCUGCUCUGCUACGUGCUGAGGAUUUCUACAUUGUGGUGAUUUAUUAACUUUGAGAUGAACUUUUAUCUCUAUGUUAUUGUCCUAAAUUCUAAUUCGUGUAAUUGUGUGGAUGCAAGAACAUUCCUUUCGAUCUGUUGCUUUUGUAGUUGUAUUUGAUUGGUCUCUCCAUCCUUGAGAUUGCUUGAACAUGACGCAGCUGCUUAGAGCCGAUAUACCAUGACAUGCAAGUUUCAAAUUUGGAAGUUCCAACCUUCUAAUUUGUUUUAAUUAGGCUCCAAAUGAUACUACCAGCAGUUGGUAUGAAUAUAAAUGAUAUAGCAACGCAAAACAAGGCAUAGAUAAACAAAAUGAUGUAACCAUAUUCAACUUGAAAAACCAGAAGAAACAAGGUGGGGCAAGAGGUAGAAUGUGAAAAACAUGAUUACCGCAACUAACUUGUAAAGGUAAUAAAAGUAUCGUCCCACUGUGUAUUACAUGUCAACAUUGAUAUAUCUGAAUACCUACAUCCAAGUCUGAUUUGAUUUCAGCUGAGAAGACCAUCCCUGGUUCUGAAUGAAACAAAGCACAGAAAAACAAGCACUCGACUUGUUAUGCAGAUGACAGUUUAACAAAGCAGUUCUUUCCCUAAGCCAUAAAUUGAAUAAUUAAAUAAAAUAUUACAGCAAUCAGGAGGAACUAGCAGGUGCUAACUGCUUCAGUUUUGCCUGCAAGAUUACAGCAGCUUCGUCUGAAAUAGUUUUCUUUUUUGUUGCAACCUGCAUUAUGAAUUUUUAUACUCCUGUUAUUAUCAAAGAUGAUAAUACAACAGAGGUGAUAGAAAUGUGAAUUGCCAACAUAAACAUUCAAGUGUGCAAAAGCUACAAUUUUGAAGGAUUGUUUGGGUAAAAAGUCCUUUAAAAUAAGCAGAAGGAAUUAACUCAAAACUCUUUAAUCUUCAUAGUCACGUAAAUGAGCUAUCUCUAACAAUCCCAAACUAAGUGUGAAUGAGGGACAUACUAGAAAGAAAGCCCUCGACACCAAGAAAGGGUUGAUGAAGAUUGGAGGCACCUUGUAGUAGGUGAGAUGACGUAUUGAUUUGCAACAUUUUAAAUCCGUUGUAUAAAAAAAAAUGGACAAUAAAUCCAAUAAAAAGUUGCAAGCUUUGAGUUCAGUAUUGAUGAAGUGCUCAUGCAGGAUGGAAAGAGUCAAUACUGGUUUUAAAUGUAGGUUGAAGUGGCAUUGAGAAGAAAAUAAUGGAAAAACUAUUUGAGAUUGAUUGGACAUGAACAAGGUAUACAAGGAAUGGGUCGCUACAAAAUAUUAACCCAGUAUGGAAAGCACCAAAAGAACAUGAAUAAGAACCGCAAAAGGAAAAUUCAACAGUCAAAGAACAUCAUGUUAUAAGAUAAACGAGGAUUCUGCACUGGAAUACAGUGGAAUAACACCAAAAGAUUCAUGCAAAUGAUCCAUUUGGUCUUAAAGAACUGUGAGAUCUGUUGGGUCAAACAGAGAGAGAAUUCUGGUUCACAUUGCUAGUCCAAUCUUUAGAACAUAUAUCAGCAGAAGCAAAAACAAAAACCAAAAGAAGACUAUGCAUUCUUGAGGGUGCCUUUUUUGUUUUGGCUAAAUCUAUUUAUGGCAAAGAAGAAAAAUUCUAAACCAAAGUAAAGUCUAGUAUCUUCUAGAGCUACUCAAAGACAAUUUACAUGCGGAAGGACCAAUCCAGCAUAUUUAAUUCGAGAAACUAAAAGUAGUCUAAUCAAAGGGAUUUGUUAAUAAUCUCCGAAUCAAGUUACUUAUUAGUUAUACUUACCACUUUACACAAAAGCUUAAACUGAUAGAAAACAUACCAGCGCAAUAAAAUUCAAGCUUGAAGAUUAUUGAGCAAUGAAAACUAGCACAAGACUGACUAUCUUCAAAACCUUACCUCAAUGAGCUGAUCAAAAUUAGAUUUCAGCAAGUUGAUUUUACGCUCACAGUAAUCUUUGCCUUCAUCCAUCGUUUUCUGACAAAAUAAAAAAUUAUAAAUUAAACAAUCAAUUGAGAAACUGAAAACGAAAAAGAUUAACAAAAAAAAAAGAAGGAAAUUUAGAAAGUGUGGAGAGACUAGAGAGAAAGAGGGAACCUCAACGAAGUAACCGGUGCCGAUAUCGACGAGAACUUUGUGGGCGUCAUCGAGAGUGCCAGGAACGUAAAGCGACGCCGUAAGAGGUACCAACAUUUUGGCACCUUGAGGACGGAGGGAAAGAUCGUGGAGAGCAGUGGAAGCCGACUCGAGGCGAGAGGUGGCGGUACGGAUGUUGUUGAGACUGUCUUGUAAGAGAUUGACUUCUAGAUCCGUCUGUUCUUUUAUUGCUUUUAGUUGCUCUACGCUCAUCUUCUCCAUUCCUCCUCCUUUCGACGACGCCAUUCUACUUUUCGGUUCGAUGCUGCCUGCCCCUCUGUUUCUCUGUAAAUACUAUGUAGAAUAAUAUAUGCUUGAAAUUAUAGUUAAACUCAGAAAAAAUUCAACCUCUGCCCCUAUAGCUCAGUGGUAGAGCGUCAGUCUUGUAAACUGAAGGUCUGUAGUUCGAUCCUGCAUGGGGGCACCUCAGUAAUUUUAAUUUUUCAACCAGUUGUUUUCGCCGGCCCGUUAAGAGAAGCCCAAGCCCGUAAGACAAGGUUAUCAUCAAGUUCGUAUAUUUUGGAUAGUGACGGGCUCCAACAUCAUACAACGGCAAGAUGAUGACCGCCAACUUUUCAACAACGGCAAUUAAUCCACGGGACCCAUCAAUUAUUGAACACUGGCUCUCUUUGUUUUCUAAUAAUUAAUAUGUAAAUCAAUAACAGUAAGUACCAUAUAUCUUGGAAUCAACCAGAAAAUCAAUUUUCGAUUCUUUUUCACUCACCACCAUUCCUUAAUCUACACCAACAUUAUUGAUUAAUUCCUCACUUGCAAUUAGUUCAUCCUCUAAUUACCCUCUUUCUGCUUAUUUUGCAUUUUUUUUUCUUUUUUUCUUUUUUCUCAAGAAACCCACACCAUACAAGCUGGUGUGCUUGCCGAAGAGAAAACCCCAUCUGCUGCAAAUGGUAAAUGUCUAGCCUAUAUCUGGUACUGGUUGGGCGAUGAUUUAACAGACUACGAUGAGGGAUUACGUCGUAGAUCAUGUCAAGAUAAUGAUGUUAGGCUGUAUGUGCUAAUUUAAACACAAUCUACUUACUUUAAUCACGUUGAAGCCCAAGAUAACCUCGCUACUAAAGACGUAUGAUUCUUAAGUCUGACAAAACAUUCAUCUCCAAUGAAUAUUAUGUAAGCUGGGUUGGGUCUUUUACCAUGAGAUUGAGAUGUAACAAAUUCAGGGGUUUCAUUCUGUAGUCAUUAUUAAUUUUGCAUGUUUUGCCAACCUCUUCCUAGAAGAAUCAACCAAUUUGAUCUCAAUAUUAUUUAGACAAACUAGCAGUUGAGCCCAAAAGUUUCAGUUAAAAUUGCGUCCUUCUCAUAAUGGGUGGGAGAUAUGUCAUAAUUCAUUAACAUAUGUAUAUACUGGCCAAACGGGAAGACAAAAACCCGACAGCUUCUGGGCAGUAAACGCUGCUGGUCCAUCGUGUCUGCACUGUUCGUUUACAAAUAACAAAAAAGAAAGGUAAAAACCAAUUGUUUCCAGCAGACUAGCAAUGAAUAGAGUAACAUGGCAAUGACAGCCAUUAACUUCUGAAUCUGUACAGAAACAAAAGAUCAGCUCUGCCAUCGGCAUCUGAGAAACAAAAUCCAUCAUGCCAAGGAGUCAAUUGAUUAUGCUGGUAAUGAAAAAUGAAUCCAAUUUCCACUGGUUAUUAGUUAACCCAUAUCAUUUCCAGUGUGCAGGGUGCUUUCAUCACCCUAAAUAUAGUUAAGAUUUUUCUGAUGUGAAUGCAAACUAAUGGAAUUCAAAACUAAGCAAAGCAGAUUUUGAAGUCAUUAUUAGUAUUUACAAUGAGCAAAGGGCAAUAACACACUGACGUCGGAGACUGCGUAAAUGAAAAAAAGGAAUCUAAGAGAAACAGAUGGGUCUCUUUAUUCACACAUCAGGCACCCGAAAACAAUCCAUUGCUUACAUACAGGGAAAACACAUUAUUUUUCACGCUGAUUAAAUCUAAGAAAUUGGCUACCGGUACAGCUAAAAUUUUCAGAAGCAGAGAUCUUAUACAGAAGAACCAGCUGUUCACACAAGUGAGCAAGAGUUGAUGAAAGUCAAGAGAGAGAAAGCAAAACACAGUCUGCCACCUGUGCUAUUUCAUGAGCAAGCAAUCACCCUCGCCAUUCUUCAGCUAAAACAUUCAAGGAAGAUCAUCAAUCAUUCUUCUCAAGCAAUUGCCGAAAUUGCAGCUGAGAAUUUAGCCACAUAAAUCACGAAAAAAGAAUCCCAGUAAUCCACUUGUUGGUUACUGGAAAUUCAAACCAUAAGCAGCAAGAAUAGUCUUUUAGACAGCACGUCUCACUGAAACCAAAAUAGUAUAAUCCAUAGACUACUUUGGCAAAGAAUAAGAGGAACUCUCAGUCACUCAAACUUGGUAUGAAUUUCCUAAAACAUGAACAGUAAGUCUGAUUAUUGCUUCAAAUUUUGGCCACAAGAAUAAGAUAGCAGCAGAACUGAGAGAAUCACGCGCUCCUCAUCUCCUCCUUCCACAAACCUAAACAAAUUUGAACCUAAAACCCUAAUUAAUCAACAAACAAAGCAACUAAAACCCUAAUUGAAUUCAUACUUAAAAAUUCCCAAAUUCCUCCAAACCCUAAUCCCUAACCCUAAAAAUUCACUAGUAAAAAAUCUUCUCUUCAUCUCCACACACACAAAGACAACAAUUAA